rnacentral:rRNA from 1 species
CCCUUAGAUGUCCGGGGCCGCACGCGCACUACACUGAAGGAAUCAGCGUGGCUUUCUCCCUGACCCGAAAGGGUUGGGAAACCCGUUGAAUCUCCUUCGUGAUAGGGAUUGGGGCUUGAAAUUGUUCCCCAUGAACGAGGAAUUCCCAGUAAGCGCGAGUCAUAAGCUCGCGUUGAUUACGUCCCUGCCCUUUGUACACACCGCCCGUCGCUACUACCGAUUGAACGGUUUAGUGAGGGCCUCGGAUUGGUCUCGGCCCGCUCUUUACCGGGCGGCGCCGUUGGUCGAGAAGACGCUCGAACUUGAUCGUUUAGAGGAAGUAAAAGUCGUAACA